UUUUGGUUUGAGUGCAGUGGUGUUUAUGACUAACUGAUCACAGCCAGUUACAGAUCCUUUGUUUCUUCUCCAUUCGCACUGCUUUACUUGACUAGCCUUUU
ensembl:misc_RNA Y_RNA Y RNA